rnacentral:rRNA from 1 species
GACGGACGGUGCAAGCGUUGCUAGGAAUCACUGGGCGUAAAGGGUGCGUAGGCGGCCGUGCAAGUCUGGCGUGAAAGCCCCGGGCUCAGCCCGGGAAGUGCGCUCGAAACUGCGCGGCUCGAGUGCCGGAGGGGAGAGUGGAAUUCCUGGUGUAGCGGUGAAAUGCGUAGAUAUCAGGAGGAAUACCGGUGGCGAAAGCGACUCUCUGGACGGCAACUGACGCUGAGGCACGAAAGCGUGGGGAGCAAACAGG